AAGGUUAACCGAAUAGGGGAGCCGAAGGGAAACCGAGUCUUAACUGGGCGUUAAGUUGCAGGGUAUAGACCCGAAACCCGGUGAUCUAGCCAUGGGCAGGUUGAAGGUUGGGUAACACUAACUGGAGGACCGAACCGACUAAUGUUGAAAAAUUAGCGGAUGACUUGUGGCUGGGGGUGAAAGGCCAAUCAAACCGGGAGAUAGCUGGUUCUCCCCGAAAGCUAUUUAGGUAGCGCCUCGUGAAUUCAUCUCCGGGGGUAGAGCACUGUUUCGGCAAGGGGGUCAUCCCGACUUACCAACCCGAUGCAAACUGCGAAUACCGGAGAAUGUUAUCACGGGAGACACACGGCGGGUGCUAACGUCCGUCGUGAAGAGGGAAACAACCCAGACCGCCAGCUAAGGUCCCAAAGUCAUGGUUAAGUGGGAAACGAUGUGGGAAGGCCCAGACAGCCAGGAUGUUGGCUUAGAAGCAGCCAUCAUUUAAAGAAAGCGUAAUAGCUCACUGGUCGAGUCGGCCUGCGCGGAAGAUGUAACGGGGCUAAACCAUGCACCGAAGCUGCGGCAGCGACACUGUGUGUUGUUGGGUAGGGGAGCGUUCUGUAAGCCUGUGAAGGUGUGCUGUGAGGUAUGCUGGAGGUAUCAGAAGUGCGAAUGCUGACAUAAGUAACGAUAAAGCGGGUGAAAAGCCCGCUCGCCGGAAGACCAAGGGUUCCUGUCCAACGUUAAUCGGGGCAGGGUGAGUCGACCCCUAAGGCGAGGCCGAAAGGCGUAGUCGAUGGGAAACAGGUUAAUAUUCCUGUACUUGGUGUUACUGCGAAGGGGGGACGGAGAAGGCUAUGUUGGCCGGGCGACGGUUGUCCCGGUUUAAGCGUGUAGGCUGGUUUUCCAGGCAAAUCCGGAAAAUCAAGGCUGAGGCGUGAUGACGAGGCACUACGGUGCUGAAGCAACAAAUGCCCUGCUUCCAGGAAAAGCCUCUAAGCAUCAGGUAACAUCAAAUCGUACCCCAAACCGACACAGGUGGUCAGGUAGAGAAUACCAAGGCGCUUGAGAGAACUCGGGUGAAGGAACUAGGCAAAAUGGUGCCGUAACUUCGGGAGAAGGCACGCUGAUAUGUAGGUGAAGUCCCUCGCGGAUGGAGCUGAAAUCAGUCGAAGAUACCAGCUGGCUGCAACUGUUUAUUAAAAACACAGCACUGUGCAAACACGAAAGUGGACGUAUACGGUGUGACGCCUGCCCGGUGCCGGAAGGUUAAUUGAUGGGGUUAGCGCAAGCGAAGCUCUUGAUCGAAGCCCCGGUAAACGGCGGCCGUAACUAUAACGGUCCUAAGGUAGCGAAAUUCCUUGUCGGGUAAGUUCCGACCUGCACGAAUGGCGUAAUGAUGGCCAGGCUGUCUCCACCCGAGACUCAGUGAAAUUGAACUCGCUGUGAAGAUGCAGUGUACCCGCGGCAAGACGGAAAGACCCCGUGAACCUUUACUAUAGCUUGACACUGAACAUUGAGCCUUGAUGUGUAGGAUAGGUGGGAGGCUUUGAAGUGUGGACGCCAGUCUGCAUGGAGCCGACCUUGAAAUACCACCCUUUAAUGUUUGAUGUUCUAACGUGGACCCGUGAUCCGGGUUGCGGACAGUGUCUGGUGGGUAGUUUGACUGGGGCGGUCUCCUCCUAAAGAGUAACGGAGGAGCACGAAGGUUGGCUAAUCCUGGUCGGACAUCAGGAGGUUAGUGCAAUGGCAUAAGCCAGCUUGACUGCGAGCGUGACGGCGCGAGCAGGUGCGAAAGCAGGUCAUAGUGAUCCGGUGGUUCUGAAUGGAAGGGCCAUCGCUCAACGGAUAAAAGGUACUCCGGGGAUAACAGGCUGAUACCGCCCAAGAGUUCAUAUCGACGGCGGUGUUUGGCACCUCGAUGUCGGCUCAUCACAUCCUGGGGCUGAAGUAGGUCCCAAGGGUAUGGCUGUUCGCCAUUUAAAGUGGUACGCGAGCUGGGUUUAGAACGUCGUGAGACAGUUCGGUCCCUAUCUGCCGUGGGCGCUGGAGAACUGAGGGGGGCUGCUCCUAGUACGAGAGGACCGGAGUGGACGCAUCACUGGUGUUCGGGUUGUCAUGCCAAUGGCACUGCCCGGUAGCUAAAUGCGGAAGAGAUAAGUGCUGAAAGCAUCUAAGCACGAAACUUGCCCCGAGAUGAGUUCUCCCUGACCCUUUAAGGGUCCUGAAGGAACGUUGAAGACGACGACGUUGAUAGGCCGGGUGUGUAAGCGCAGCGAUGCGUUGAGCUAACCGGUACUAAUGAACCGUGAGGCUUAACCUUACAACGCCGAAGGUGUUU
rnacentral:rRNA from 1 species